rnacentral:rRNA from 1 species
UACGAAGGGGGCUAGCGUUGCUCGGAAUCACUGGGCGUAAAGGGCGCGUAGGCGGUUUGUACAGUCAGACGUGAAAUUCCUGGGCUCAACCUGGGGGCUGCGUUUGAUACGUGCGGACUUGAGUUCGGAAGAGGGUCGUGGAAUUCCCAGUGUAGAGGUGAAAUUCGUAGAUAUUGGGAAGAACACCGGUGGCGAAGGCGGCGACCUGGUCCGAUACUGACGCUGAGGCGCGAAAGCGUGGGGAGCAAACAGG